rnacentral:misc_RNA from 1 species
UCUCCGUUGGUGAACCAGCGGAGGGAUCAUUAUAGAGUUUUAUAACUCCCAACCCUUUGUGAACCAUACCUCUCUGUUGCCUCGGCGCAGGCUGGGAGCUUCUGUAAACUCCCCCACGCGGACUCGCCUCCGCGCGGAGCAGGCCCGCCGGCGGCCCCUACCAAACCUCUUGUUUUUACAGUGUCUCCUCUGAGUUACAAACACAAAUGAAUCAAAACUUUCAACAACGGAUCUCUUGGUUCUGGCAUCGAUGAAGAACGCAGC